rnacentral:lncRNA from 1 species
UUUUUUGGUCUUAUAGUUUUAUAUUUCCAUUGUUGUUCAAACAGAUUUCCCGAGGGUGAAACGAGAGCUCGCUGCUUUGCUUUCUGCCUUAUUUUCUAGAACUCUUUAGGGGCCACUUGAAUUUAAUUGCAUGUGAGCAGUGAGAAGCAGAAAGCACGGCUGAUUUUUUUUUUUUGGGGGGGGGGAUGUCAUAAGCCUGGGUUGCACAGCCCCUGUUUUAAAUCAGUCCUCCCCAUCCAGGUCUGUGCUGUUGCUUUCUUCCUCACAGAGAUGCUUUUUCUUGCUGAUCCUUCAAACUUUCCCAGGUUAUUUGCGACCACCGCCACGCCAGCCAUGAUCUGACUUUUCUAGUAUGUGUUUAAGGAACUAACCCAUUUAUUCAAUGAAGGCCGAAGGAAUGUAGCAGAGAGAACAGAGUGUUCCAGGUGAAAGGCAGAGCCUCAGGCAGUAAUCCUUGGUGUGAGAACAGGGAUGCGAGAAAUAUAAGCCCUCUUUUCAUCUGUAAAAUGCUAGACGUUAUUAAGGGAGAAAUCCUGCAGCAAGAUCUGCUAGGGUGACUGGGUUAGGAUGCAGCAGAUCUCCAGCUGACCUGGGACCCAGUGGAUCGCCCCCAUCCUGGCUCAGCUGGGACCCAGCUUGAUGAGGCAAGCCUAAACUAGCAUAAGGCACUGGAAAGGGGCUUGUACAUUAUGGAUUGGGGGGGUCAGCUACCUCACCCCUUGCCCUUGGAGGCCUUUCAAGAGGCCGGAGGAGAAGGAUUCUGAGCAACAUCAUGGGAGGAGUGUUUCUAGGACUAAGCUCCAGCAUCACGAUAAAGAGGCGGAGGAUUCCCCCAGCAAGUGGAGAUCUGACGAUGAAAUGGCCGUGGAAGCAGCAAGCCUCGAGAAGUAUUUUAAGUGAAAACAUGAGGCAACAAAGCACCUUUGGCGAAGUCUGGCUGGGGCAGAAGACAAUGGAGGAAACCAGAGGCCCUCCCUGCAAACCACCAAUCUUUCCUGGACCUAAAGCUCAAGAGAUGUCAAUAUAUUCUGCAGAGAUGCUGGAUUCUUCCACAGGAUGCUUUAUGAACCUCACCAAAGGGUUGUUUCGGCAAAGAUGCUUGAUAGUUUGCAUAUCGCACAGAAUGUAUUGAAGCUGUUGCUUUAAUUUUCUAUGAAAAUAAAAACAAAUAAAGCAUUAAUAAAAUAAAUA